UACGUAGGGUGCGAGCGUUGUCCGGAAUUAUUGGGCGUAAAGAGCUCGUAGGCGGUUUGUCACGUCUGCUGUGAAAUCCCGAGGCUCAACCUCGGGCCUGCAGUGGGUACGAGCAGACUGGAGUGCGGUAGGGGAGAAUGGAAUUCCUGGUGUAGCGGUGGAAUGCGCAGAUAUCAGGAGGAACACCGAUGGCGAAGGCAGUUCUCUGGGCCGUAACUGACGCUGAGGAGCGAAAGCGUGGGGAGCGAACAGG
rnacentral:rRNA from 1 species